rnacentral:rRNA from 1 species
AACAGGAUUAGAUACCCUGGUAGUCCACGCCGUAAACGAUGUCGACUUGGAGGCUGUUCCCUUGAGGAGUGGCUUCCGGAGCUAACGCGUUAGGUCGACCGCCUGGGGAGUACGGCCGCAAGGUUAAAACUCAAAUGAAUUGACGGGGGCCCGCACAAGCGGUGGAGCAUGUGGUUUAAUUCGAUGCAACGCGAAGAACCUUACCUACUCUUGACAUCCAGAGUAUUUAGCAGAGAUGCUUUAGUGCCUUCGGGAACUCUGAGACAGGUGCUGCAUGGCUGUCGUCAGCUCGUGUUGUGAAAUGUUGGGUUAAGUCCCGCAACGAGCGCAACCCUUAUCCUUUGUUGCCAGCACGUAAUGGUGGGAACUCAAAGGAGACUGCCGGUGAUAAACCGGAGGAAGGUGGGGAUGACGUCAAGUCAUCAUGGCCCUUACGAGUAGGGCUACACACGUGCUACAAUGGCGCAUACAAAGAGAAGCGACCUCGCGAGAGCAAGCGGACCUCAUAAAGUGCGUCGUAGUCCGGAUUGGAGUCUGCAACUCGACUCCAUGAAGUCGGAAUCGCUAGUAAUCGUAAAUCAGAAUGUUACGGUGAAUACGUUCCCGGGCCUUGUACACACCGCCCGUCACACCAUGGGAGUGGGUUGCAAAAGAAGUAGAUAGCUUAACCUUCGGGAGGGCGUUUACCACUUUGUGAUUCAUGACUGGGGUGAAGUCGUAACAAGGUAACCGUAGGGGAACCUGCGGCUGGAUCACCUCCUU